rnacentral:rRNA from 1 species
AUGAGCUCCACUGAUCUACCUCAAAAGCUGGAGCUUGUUGACACACUGCAGCGUAUUGGGGUGGACUAUCACUACCGACAGGAGAUUGAUGAAUUUCUGCGUGAUAUAUAUGGUGACAAGCAUGAAAUUCAUGACCUUUAUACAGCUGCCUUGCGGUUUUACCUGCUUAGGAAACAUGGCUACCCUGUCUCUUCUGAUGUGUUUACCAUGUUUGUUGACGGGAACAGAAUUAUUGGGAGCACUGAUGCUAUAACUUUGUUGGUUCUCUACAACGCUGCACAUCUGAGAACCCAUGGAGAAAAAAUACUUGAUGAUCUUAUGACUUCGACAAAGCAGCUCCUAAAAUAUAUGGUGAACCAGUUGGAUCCGGCAUUGGCACAAGAAGUGCAAUACACCCUAGAAACUCCCCUUUUCAGGAGGCUUCACCGAAUUGAAGCAAAGCGCUACAUCUCAACAUAUGAGAAAAAGCACACACGAAACAAGACCAUAUUGGAGUUUGCAAAGCUGGACUACAAUAUCGUGCAAAGUUUGUACUGUGACGAGCUUAAAGAUCUUACCCUAUGGUGGAAUGGAUUUGAUAUAAAAACCCACCUACCCUGGGCACGUGAUCGAAUGGUUGAGAUGCACUUUUGGAUGAUGGGAGUUUUCUUUGAGCCCCAUUAUUCAUAUCCAAGAACCGUGCUUACAAAGUUGAUUACCCUUGUGUCGGUUUUUGAUGACUUCUAUGACAACUAUAGCCCCGCACAAGAAAGCACGAUGUUUACUUCAGCAAUUGACAGGUGGGACGAGCAUGCAGCUGAGCAAGUCCCAACAUACAUGAGGCCGUUCUACAAGGGCACCGUUUCCACCAUAAACUGCAUUGAAGAGGACUUGAAACUUCAGAAAAAUAAGCAUGCUGAGUUGGUUAAAGAACUGGAAAUAUAG